rnacentral:rRNA from 1 species
UACGUAGGGUGCGAGCGUUAAUCGGAAUUACUGGGCGUAAAGCGUGCGUAGGCGGUUCGUUAAGUUCGUUGUGAAAGCCCCGGGCUCAACCUGGGAAUGGCAAUGGAAACUGGCGGGCUGGAGUAUGGCAGAGGGGGUGGAAUUCCGCGUGUAGCAGUGAAAUGCGUAGAGAUGCGGAGGAACACCGAUGGCGAAGGCAGCCCCCUGGGCCAAUACUGACGCUCGAGGCACGAAAGCGUGGGGAGCGAACAGG